AUAAAACAGCUUGUUAAGAUGACAACUGUAUCCCUCCUUUUCAUGUUACAUUGACACAUGACACUCCGGACCAAACUUUUGGAAGCAGCUCACCCUUCCAGACGCCCGACGACAGCGCCUGGUUCCUUUGUGGCCACACUGGUCACUGGGCUAAAGACUGUCCUGCCAAGAAAUGAGGGCCGAGGCAAUGGCUACUGCUACGAUCCAGACCGAUGCCUGCUUCCUUUGUGCUGAACUUGUCACUGGGCUAAAGACAGUCCUGCCAAAAAAAUGAAGGGCUCAGCGAAUUCGUGGCCGAGGCAAUGGCUACCGACAUGAUCCAGACCAGCGUAACAACCGAGACUUUUACCAAAAACGUGAUGAGCACAACUGGAAGGGAGGCCCUGGAGUCUCGAGCAACGCUUCCAACUGACUCGAUGUCGGCCCUCGUGCCGAAACAUCAGAUGGUGAUAUGCACCUACACAACACACCUGCACACACUAUUAUCCGUACAACCUGUUGUAUAGUAAUGACCAACUGCCAUGGUUAUAAAUGAUGAAAAACAUUUUUUUUUGUAGAUUCUGGUGCUCAGAACUACUGAUCUGUCGGUACCACUCAGUCAACGCUCUGUUGCCUCGCGGUGCACAAACGGCGCAACCGUGUGUGAACCCUUCUCACGCCUAGUCACGUGUCCUUCAACUGAACAUCAAUUUGUUGUUUCAUCAAAAUGCCUGGUAACCUUUUCUGGUUGUGACCUACUGCUAAAAAUGGGGAUGGUUUUGACAUGUAUGCCUGAUGGUAUUGUGAUCAAUCGCUCUGCAACGCGUCACCCAGCAUGCUUAAACUGACAUCACUCUCACCAUUGUACGUGUACGUGUUGCCCUCCGUAAACGGCCAGAGGAAACUGUAACUUUUGGACGCCCAAAUUAAAGGCACCUCCAAACUUAACUUUGUCACACAUGUUUCCCAAGGUCCAGAUGAGCCCUAUGCUGACACGUACCUGGACAAGUUCACUUUUGACUACGGACUAGGGUGCCGGCCCACCCACAUCUCAUAAACAUGAUGUCAGUUUGAUUAAAAAUUGCGGUGGAGUCGAAAUCACCCCAACAGCCAGACCUGACGCCGAACAAGCUCUACAAGAUGGAUCCAUUUGCCAGCCAAAGUCCUGACUCUAGAAAAGGGGGAUACCCUUUGCGUCAACAACAGUAGAGAAGUAUCGCAGAUCUAUGAGAACAUUUCCCUAAUCUAUUUUGAUGCCAUAAGCAUACCCCGGGAAGUACCAGAUAAUCUUAAACUGGUUGACCUGAUUAAAGCUAGUUUUGUGGGUGCUUUUUUACCCCAUAUUUUAAUGUCGACAGGUCAGCUUCCUGUGACCCUGACGUUGGCUUCCUUCUGUUUGGCUUAGCCGUGGUUGAUGAUCAUGACGUUGUCACCUCUUCUUCUAUCACCUCCUCCCUAUCAGGAGGACAGUUCGAGAAGCACUUCCGAGAGCCGCCAACAGAAUACUGCACAACAUCUAAUCCUGCGAUUUCCUUAUACGGAACCCGAGCCCAAAGAAGUUCAAGCUCGGACGCUGGCUUGGGCAGUUCCAGGUUCAACUGAAGACCCGCACUACAGUCAAGGUUACGGAACGUGCCACACCAUUCAAUACAAACGAGUCCCACAGCUGACGAUGGUUCCGUGUGUCAUGUGCAAGAAUCCAUUUCUCAGCACACACGCGCAGGGAAUGGAAUUCUAGUAACCUCUCCUUCGAGAUCACAAAGAACGCGUUAUAGGGCCAAAAGUAGACGAGGGACCGUGGUUCCGAGGCAAUACUCCGGCCAAUGUCACCAAGAAGCCCGACCACCCAACCUCAAACUGUGGUCUUUUUCCAACCUUCAAAUCCCACCGGUGUUAUGUGACUUGUAAAUGUUUUAAUUCUUGUUUUUAGUGAUUCCUUUGGAAUCAAAGGGAGGAAAUGCGUUGGAAAACAUUAAUGUACCUUUGUCUAAAUUGCAAUAGUGCUGUGCGGAAAGCACAUUCUGGAUUAUGUGUGACCUUGUCCGCAUUGACUCACUGACAGUACAUUAUCUCUUCUCCCUUCUUGUUGCUCAUUCAACAAUUGACCAUUGUUCCCAGUGUGGGCACUUUCCACAAAGUUGCGUUAUUUACUCUUAACCCCCGUCCAUCACACCUUUAUUUCAACACUUCUCUCUUCCUAUUGCGCACUGCUUACAUACUUUGCUAUGAAUGUGACCU